UGUUCCAAACACUGUUUAAAGAGGUGUACAUUAUAAUAUGAACUAAACUAUGGUUAUUAGCAAUAUACUUACAGAAUAUAUCGGCGUUGCUAAACGGCUAGGAGAGUUUAAAGCAAUGGUCCGAAAUAAAGCUCAUCCAAAAGAAGAAAUUCAAGUUUCCAAUGGUGCAAGUUGCUGACUAUGCAGGCAAAUGAGUCAAGUGCGGUAAGAUGAUCUAAAAUCGAAUACUUCCUCUAAAUGGAUCAAAGCUGACCGGUGAUUUUUCAGAAGCACGUUCAAGAUCUAUAAUUAACGAUGAGAACGCAGAUUUCGUAUCCUUUAAAAAUGCCAGAGAAUGUGAAUGCUUCAU
rnacentral:lncRNA from 1 species